AUUAUAUCAAAGCGUAGUAGACUGUCUUGAGCUGAUCGAUUCCUAUGACCUACCUAAGACACCGUAAGGCAUCAUGUCGAUACAAUAGAGCUCUCGACUACCUCCAGCUCAUGUUUCCAAUUUAGAUGGAAGUCAAUGCGCACACCGAGGCAUUUUACCUGGUCUACUACAUCUAUGUCAAAAACUCCAUUCAUUGACACUUCAAGUUUGUCUGUCUUCUUCAAGUUAUAUUUAAUUUAUAUUAUUUUAGUCUUUUUAGGGUAAGCACGUGAAUAAUUUUUUGAAAACCAGUCACAAAAGGUUAAGACUGCAUCAUUCGUAAUUCUAUUUAGCUCAUCAAUACUAUCAACACAAAAAGUUGCAUUUGUAUCAUCUGCAUAAACCGUCAACUUACUAUUUUUAACUGUACUAUUAAUAUAGUUUAUGGAGUCGUUAGUAAAAACGAGAAAUAGUAAAGGACCGAGAAUGGACCCCUGAGGGACACCUUGUUUAACAUCAACAACCUUAGAAGUAAUAGAUUUUUCGUGAUAGUUUUGAACGUUCCAUAUAUCCACAAAUUGUUUUCUAUUUUCAAGAUAAUUUAACAGGAGCCGGUAUGCAUUGCCUCUGAUUCCAUAGAAAUCGAGCUUUUUCAUAAGAAUCGCAUGAUCGACUAAAUCAAAAGCGGAACUUAGGUCAAUAAAAAGACUCGCCACUCUUUUUCCUGUGUUAAGCUCUUCCACAAUAUCAUUUACAAGAGAGUCAAUAGCGUCAGUGGUUCCUAUGUUUUUUGGAAUCCAAAUUGCCGAUGGCUGAUGAUAUCAUACACUAUGAAAUGGUCUAAAAGGCGUGAUUUGAUCAGUUUCUCAAAAAAAAUUGAGAGUACCGGAAGUAGCGAUAUUGGCCGAUAAUUUUUAAGAUGAAUUUGUGAUCCUUUUUUAUAAAUGGGUAGGAUCCUAGCCACUUUGAACUGUUCAGGAAAUACUGCAAAGUCGAAGCAUUUAUUAAAUAGAAAAGCCAAUGGUUCCGCCAGCAAGGCUAUACAAUCUUUGAUCACCGAAAUCGGCAUUUCAUCGAAACCGCUAGAUUUUUUGUUAUCCAUACUUUGAACGAUUUUAAUUAUUUCAAUUGAAGUUACUGAAUUAAAGGAUAUGUCAUUGAAUUUCCUAUUGUUAGAUUGUUCAAGGAUAUGUACAGCAGAACAUAAAUCACCCGUGUUUGGAUUAUUACUGUGAUCGAAACCUUUUGAAAAUAAGUUAGCCACCUCUUGAGGAUUUCCAAAAAUCUUAUUCUUUACAUUUAGGAUAAGUUUACCAAGUUGAGGUUUGUAAGAUUUGUUACGACAUUUGUUGACAACAUUCCAUAUUACUUUUGGCGAUCCUUUGGCAUUACUUAUUUUUGAUUGAACUGCUGUCCGUUUUGCAUAUUUGACGACUCUUCUAAAGAUAUUUAUAUAUUUUUGUCUGUAAACUAGUACAGAAUUAUCACACGUUUCCUUAUUUAAGUUAGUCAAAACACGCUUCAUUUUGCUCGCUACCUUAAUGCCCUUCGUGAUCCACUUAAUUUUAGAAUUCUUUAUUAAUUUUAAUUUUUUCUUAGUCUUCUUAAAACUAUCUC